rnacentral:rRNA from 1 species
UACGGAGGGUGCAAGCGUUAUCCGGAUUUACUGGGUUUAAAGGGUGCGCAGGCGGAUAUGUAAGUCAGUGGUGAAAUCUUUGGGCUUAACCCGAAAAUUGCCAUUGAUACUAUAUAUCUUGAAUGCUGUGGAGGUAAGCGGAAUAUGUCAUGUAGCGGUGAAAUGCUUAGAGAUGACAUAGAACACCGAUUGCGUAGGCAGCUUACUACGCAGAUAUUGACGCUCAGGCACGAAAGCGUGGGGAGCAAACAGG